CUCCACUGACCAGCUCUUGGAAUCGACUCCAAAGUGCAAAAUCCGUGAGUUAUCCCCGUCAAGCAGCCAUAUACUGUUGCUCCCAUCAGUCUCUACGGCUUUGCAAUUUUAGGGUUCUUGCAUCUUAACAUUGAGGGCGCCGCUCUUUCUUCGCGGCUCGCUUAUACGCGGAUGCCACAACGAUUUCUCGCGGCUUCCAUGGCACGGGUCAGCGAUUCGUUGUUCGCUGCCUUGUUCGACUGAUGGACGCCACAGCGCUUUCUUCUCUCUCUUUUUUUUCUCUCGCGCAUUUAGCACUGGGGCACUGCGAAGAUUCUAUCGCGUGUGCUUUGCCCGUUCAGCUAAUGCUACAUUGCUAAUCUUCUUUCGCAAUGUCCUGGGAUUUCUUUCAUCUCUUCUUCUCUGGACAAAGAUCUCAUCUCAUCAUGUAGGAGAGAUUCUUCAUUCUUCUCGCUUUUUCGUGCAUCUUUUCUGCGAUUAAUUUCCAGUGCGUGUCGCUCAUUCACACAAUGCACAGAUUAAAUCUUGUCGAUCUCUCCUGUGGCUUUCUGAGAGAUUCACGCGAUGAAUCUUCUCAUGCAGUUGGCAGGAGAACAAAAAACCAUCUUUCCUUCGAUUUCGAUGACACACCAAGCACCAUACUUGCAUUCGAACGGGUAUGAUUAAUAAAAAACGCCGUUUAAAACGCGUGUAUAAUACGGCGUUUAAACACCAAGAAUAUUUUUAAAAACCCUAAAGAAUAUGCUUUCUUUUACUUAGGAUUAGGGCUCAUGUAAAAUCAGGGUUCGAAAAAAACCGUAAAAUCAGGGUUCGAAUAAAACUGAAAACCAUUAUACCCGUUCGAAAAAAAGCUAAACGGGUAUUAAACGUUCGAUACCCGUUCGAAUCCGGUUGCGUUCGAAUGUUCGGAUGCAAGUAUGCCAAGGAUCAUCGUUUAGGACUAUUUGUUUGCAAAAAAAGUAUAGCGAUGGUACAUCUGUACAGUGCGUUUCUCUAGAGAAAACUCGCGCAAAAACCCCCAGAGAGAAUGAGAAAAGAGACCUUUUUCUUCUCACUGUCACUUGAUCCGCUUGAGCUUCUUUAGUACGUCCUUGACGUUGGGGCCUUUGUCCCACGAAGCAAACUGGCCCGCGACCUUCUUUAUCAGCACUCCAGCGUUAAAAAUCGCGGUGGAGUCUCUCAGAUUACUCGGCUGUGGCAAUCCAAACACCACCCGGUUCACGUCUUCGUCGACUUGCAGGCUGUAGACUUCGCUAAAAAUCUGCAAAGCAAGAACAACUUGUAAGCUCUUACUGCUACCAGAAACGAGAGUCUAGCGAGCUUACUUCACACAAUCUCUGGUCUGCUUGUAUGUGAGGCUCACGAGCCCGCGAAACAACGUUUAUGACGAGGAUUCCUUCGGGUUCCAGAGCAGCUUUCGCACUGCGGAGGAAUGUUUCGAGAAGGAAUUCCUCUGGAGGGCAGCUUAGCCCAUUACUGCAACGGAGUUUUCUGAUCACUUCGACAAAGAUAAACAGAAAAGACAGAACCGCACCUUGAAAUCCAUUCGUUGGCGUUAGUAAAGCCUCCGACUGGAUGAGGUUGGGAUUACGUUUAAAGAACAGGCGUCAAAAGAAGGCCUUUUUUUUGUCGGAUGAUACAACAUCCUCUACAAGCAUGGUACCCGUUAAUGGAGAAUUGAUCUGAACAAAGGAGAGAAAAGUCAAUGGUUUCUGUUAGUCGAUGCACGGCAUUGUUACCUCCUCCAGCAGAGUCCCUUUACAAACUCCAUCGUGUGGCAGCAGGAAACUGUAGAUGUUCGCAACCAAGAGUUAGAAACCUUGACAAGGAAAAGCAGGAAAGAGAAGUGAGGAACUUACGGUACUCCUGAGUCACAAUCUAAUGGUACAAGCUCUCUCACUAGUGGGGACAGGAGGUUCUGACCAUUUGGAAAGUGGGAAUAUGCAUAAGGUGAGUGGAAACGAAUACCUGAAGUUCAGUAGCGGUCUGACAGUCAGUUUCGAGGUAAAUCUGUCCGGAAAGAAGAAACACAGGUUAUUUCCGAAUGAAUCGAUGAAAGUUUUAUAGUCAGCAAGCCCUACCAUGAUAAGCCAAGCGGCCUUGGCACUUUCGACCACUUGCCAUUGUCCUUCCUCGGAUGAAUUGAGCAACUCGUGAUCCUUGGCCUGUCGCAAAAGUAUCAAGAACUUGGAGGCUUUCGAAAUGAAAUCGAACAUACCUUUGGCACCAAAAACACAGCGCACGCAUCAGGCAUGACUGCCUGUCCAAUCUUGGCGUCGAGAACUAUUGCUUUGAAUGUUCCUCCCAGAGUGAGAACAGAUCUCCGAGAGGGUUGGAGCUUUUCAAGGUCACGAAACUCUGGUCCUCUUCUUCUCAACGCAUUUUCCUUCUAUAUCGCUGCGAUAUUUUGCGCCUGGAAACAUUGGUGUUGGUCUUUUCAUAAGAGAAAAACUCAGAAAAAAACUCACAUGGAGAUUGGAAGAAAGAUCAUAAGAGAUCAAGGACAGAUCGCUCUUCGUCUCUUUCAUGGCAGCGAAUAACAGUGGCUUCAGCUUGGACGAAGCCUGAGCAAUCGGCACUUGGUAGACAGCUACUUGCCAACCAUGUCGAAACGUUGAUAAUAGCAAUCCUAUAAAACACAACGUGAUCUUUGAAAAACGAAACACACGGCUAAUUCUUCCACAUGCCGAUUACAUGACUUUCGGCUAAGGUGAUGCAAGCAUACUUUCCCAAAGGCCUUAACACUCUUUUGACCUGUCCAAACCUUUAUCAUAAACAACAUACUCUAAUUAUCUAUGGACCUGGAUGAGCUUUGAAGUUUUAUCCCCACAGCAACCUCUCCAUCAAAGUCCGGAAUUGAUUUUGGAAUCCAUUCACCAGCUGUGAGUUUAAUGCUUUAUUUAACUUUGAUCUAAUUAACAUGCUAAUCUCAUAUAUAGCCUUGAGCCUAAUUUCUUAUUGAAUAUUUUUCUUGACCAUAAACCUAGUGCAUAAAUGUAGAGCACAGGGAUGGAGCAUAUAAUGGACUGUUGUUUGUAGCAAAUUGUCUAGGUAAUGAGGACGAGUUAUUUCUCUAGUUCAUAAACAUAUCUCGUUUAUUAAAUAGCAAGAUUUAUUCAUUAGACGUGAACCAUCCACCCUCUUUUCCUUAAGGAAAAUCUGAAGGGCUUGGUUGAGCGAAUUUCUCAUUUGCCAGUAUAAAAUUCCAACAGUGGGAUCACAACCCACAAUCUCUACAACUCGCAUUCUAUCAUGCCUUCGCAGUUUAUUAUCUGCUUAGUCUUUGCUCUUGUAGCGCUUGCAGGGACAAGCAACGCUGUAAGCUAUUAGUUUGUUGCAAAUGCCCACACUAGAACUAUGACUCAAUCUGGUUUUGAUGCAGGCAUGCAACUUUGAGGAAGCUGUGACAAGAACUCGGAGGUUAUAAGCGGCACAACAUUGACUGCCAAUUGUUACAAGCCCAAUGGCCAGCUCCAAAGGAGCAGCAUCAAUCUUAACGAUUGCUUCAGCAACAAUGGAGGCACCCUCAACUGUGGCAGCAACUUUAGUGCCUCGUGCCAGAAUGUAGUAAUCAACCCGUGGUUCCAGCUCCAAGUGCUGCUUCCAUCAAUGCGCAGUGCUAUGGCAAUAGCCAGUAUCGUUAUACCUCCAAGAGCUUUUUGCACACUUUUCUUCCGUGUCACAAACAUGCUCAAUCUUGCUGUUCGCAAAGUAGCGAUUUACCACCUUGUUGUUCCUUCACCACCAUUCUAUCAACGAUGCCGAUCAUCAGAGCAUUAGCUCACAGCAGUGCCCUUGGAUCUUCUUCGAGAAAGAACGCACUAACAAGAGAACCAAGCAAAGUUCACGAAUCCUGGCACAGCCUUGGGCGCCUCUUCCACUGACCAGCUCUUGGAAUCGACUCCAAAGUGCACAAUCCGUGAGUUAUCCCUGUCAAGCAGCCAUAUACUGUUGCUCCCAUCAGUGCAUACACUGCACAUCACAUCAAACUCCUCAUCACGGCUCAAAACACUUCUCUCCCCGCCUCUCUACGACAACCAGCCCCUCGUGAUCUUCCGCCUGCAACUCAUUACUAACCACGAACAGCCGAUCCCGAUCCAGCUGAAGAAAGAACCACCUCCAUUCGAACUGCAACUCGUCGGAAUCAAGCUUGAGAAUGCGCCAAGAAUCAUCCCACAAGUUGUAUCUCACGAAGGCAUCCGUGCAAAGCAUCACCACCUCCCCGUGAUCCAGUAUCGGAUAGAAACCAUCCCCGUUGUCCAUGUCCCGUGUGUCUGGGUAGUGUUUGUUCUCGCGCAAGGACCACUCGCCCGAGACCGAGUCGUAGAUGUAGAAGCCAAGCGAUGACCCGAAGCUAGCGACGCAAAACUCUCGCGUCGAUCGAUCCCUCUCGCGGCGGUACACCGUCAAGCGCAUGUCAGGGCCGGUCUCUGGCGGCAAAGGAACUCUCACCGGGGAGGAGUUGAGAUCGCUGUAGCGCCACACGAAGAUGGAGGAUGGCGCCCACCAUUUCACAAGGCACAGCAAGCCCGCGUCGCUGCUGGCGAUGGUCAUGCCCUUGGGGAGCUUCUGGAAGUGGCGCCACUCGCUGCGAGGGGAGUUGUCGAGCGGCUUGACGAGGAGGGAUCCAGAAAGACGAAAGAAGAGGUGAGGGAUGCAGCGGUGGGAGAGAGCGUAGCCUUUGCGGAAGAUGGGAUCGUCAAUUGCUCGUCGCCAUUCGCGGCACACGCACCUGGCCUGGCACAGAUCGAUCGCGGACAGCCUGAGGAAGACGAGCUCCAGCUCUGCCACGACUUCGCCGCUGGCGAUCGCUCCUCCUUGCCGCAUUGUGUGAGUGCCCUAGAGCGUGCCCUCUCGAUUUUAGGGCUUUACAAUUUUAGGGUUCUUGCAUCUUUAACAUUGAGGGCGCCGCUCUUUCUUCGCGGCUAGCUUAUACGCGGAUGCCACAACGAUUUCUCGCGGCUUCCAUGGCACGGGUCAGUGAUUCGUUGUUCGCUGCCUUGUUCGACUGAUGGACGCCACAUCGCCUUCUUCUCUCUCUCUUUUUUUUCUCGCGCAUUUAGUACUGGGGCACUGCGAAGAUUCUAUCGCGUGUGCUUUGCCCGUUCAGCUAAUGCUACAUUGCUCAUCUCCUUUCGCAAUGUCCUGGGAUUUCUUUCAUCUCUUCUCUGGACAAAGAUCUCAUCUCAUCAUGUAGGAGAGAUUCUUCAUUCUUCUCGCUUUUUCGUACAUCUUUUCUGGGGCUACACGCGAUUUAAUUUCCAGUGCGUGUCGAAUGCACAGAUUAAAUCUUGUCGAUCUCUCCUGUGGCUUUGUGAGAGAUUCACGCGAUGAAUCUUCUCAUGCAGUUGGCAGGAGAACAAAAAACCAUCUUU
rnacentral:lncRNA from 1 species